GCUUUGCUGCAGCUGCUGCAGUUGCUGCAGCUGCUGCAGUUGCUGCAGCUGCUGCAGUUGCUUUGCUGCAGCUGCUGCAGUUGCUGCAGCUGCUGCAGUUGCUGCAGCUGCUGCAGUUGCUGCGGCUGCUGCAGUUGCUGCAGCUGCUGCAGUUGCUGCAGCUGCUGCAGUUGCUGCAGCUGCUGCAGCUGCUGCAGCUGCAGCAGCAAAUUCAA
rnacentral:sRNA from 1 species